AUGGAGUUUGUAGUGAGUGCUUCGGAAGCCACCAUGAGGUCUCUCCUAGGCAAGUUGGGCAGCCUCCUUGCCCAAGAGUACACUCUGAUCCGUGGCGUCCGCGGUGACAUCCAAUACAUCAGUGAUGAGCUCGCCAGCAUGCAGGCUUUUCUUGGCGACCUCGGCUCUGCCCUGGACAACCACGAUCGCCGGCUCAAGAACUGGAUGAGGCAGAUCCGUGACAUGGCAUACGACAUGGAAGACUGCAUCGAUGACUUUGCUCAUCGCCUCCCUCGGGACUCCCUCAGCGACGUAAGAUGUUCCUUCCUGGUGAUGGCAGUCUACGAGGUGUGGACAUUCAGGCCUCGCCGCGACAUUGCUUCCAAGAUUGCCGAGCUCAAGGUCCGAGCACAAUACAUUGCUGAGAGGCGCAACAGAUAUGGAGUGGACAACCCAAACACAAGAACAAGCUCCCAAGACGGAGCAACCCAUGCUAUUACGUAUGGCAUUGCUGAGCAUUUGGCAGCGAGCCGUCAGCUCAUCCGCACAGAGGACCCCGUGGGAGUGAAGAUGGACAUGGAGAAGCUCCGAGGUUGGCUAACCAAACAUGAUAAAGGCUCUCAUCGAGCUGUUGUGUCCUUGCUUGGAUUUGGUGGUGUGGGAAAGACAACCAUUGCCAUGGCACUGUACCGAGAUUUCAGGAAUGAAUUUGAUUGCCGGGCGUCAGUCACGGUGUCUCAGAACUUCGAUGAAGAUGAAAUCCUCCGGGAUGUUCUUGGGCAAAUCAAACCAGCAAACAGUCAAAUCAAGCCAAAGGAGGAGGGGCAGGAGGGCAACAACAUAGGGAAGUUAAAGAAGAAAAACCUACUGGUAGACCUGAAAAGCUCAGUGAAGCAAGUUGUGCCACUGCUCUCUGGUGACAGGCCGCAAAGCAAUGAUGGCAGCAUGCAGAGUAAGAUAGAAACAAUGAAUCGUGACCAACUUAUCGAAGAACUCAAAAAACGCCUUCUUGGAAGGAGGUAUCUCCUGUUGAUUGAUGAUAUAUGGUCCGUAGAAACAUGGGAGACCAUUAGAAAUUGGUUACCACAUGAUAAUACAAAUGGUAGUAGAGUAAUAGUAACUACAAGAUUUCAAGCUGUUGGCGCAGCGUGCUCAGAAAGAGAUGGAACUGAUUAUGUCCAUACAGUUAAUGUUCUCAAUGAUGCCGACUCCAAAAGCCUAUUUCGUCAGAGUAUUUCUGAAUCCCCAAGCGGGAAAGAAGGUAAAGGAAUGGAUAAAAUAUCUCAAGUUGUUGGUACUGAGUCCUCCAAAGGAGAUGGAACUGAUCAUUUGCCUUCAGCGGAUGUUCCUAGUUUUUCUAAUCCACAAAGCAGGAAGGUUGGGGAGAAAGAAGAGGUCCAUGAGGAGAUAUGGAAAUACUGUGGGGGGCUGCCAUUGGCCAUAGUCACCAUGGCUGGCCUUGUUGCCUGCAACCCUAAAAAAAAGAGUGAUCAUUGGAGUAAAGUUUGCAAGUCAUUAUUUCCAGAGCAAGUGGCUCCCCUUACAUUGGAGGGGGUCACAAGGAUACUUGAUUAUUGCUACAAUGAUUUGCCAGCAGAUCUCAAGACCUGCUCAUUGUACUUGAGCAUAUUCCCCAAGGGCUCAAAAAUUAGUAAGAAGCGUCUGACCCGGAGGUGGAUAUCAGAAUGUUUUGUUUCUGAGAAGGAAGGGCUGAGUGCAGAGGAAGUUUCAGAAACAUACUUCAAUCAGCUUGUAAGAAGGAAGAUAAUACGUCCUGUGGAUCACAGCAGCAAUGGAAAGGUCAAAUCAUUUAAAGUUCAUGACAUGAUCCUUGAAUAUAUCGUGUCCAAGUCAAGUGAAGAGAAUUUUAUUACUGUUGUUGGUGGACAUUGGUUGAUGCCAACUCCUAGCAACAAAGUUCGUCGACUUUCCAUGCAAAGCAGUGGUUCCAAGCAUGGGAAUUCAACAAAAGGCAUGAACUUGUCUCAAGUGCGGUCACUGACGGCAUUUGGAAGCCAAAACCGACGACUCCCAUUCCAUUCAUUCAUUAAUGGAAUAAUACAAGUGCUUGAUCUUGAGGGCUGGAAGGGUUUGACAGAUAAGCAUUUGAAUGACAUAUGUAAAAUGCUUGUGCUGAAGUAUUUGAGCCUCAGACGGACAGAGGUUUCUGAGAUCCCAUCAAAGAUCGAGAAGCUCCAGUAUCUAGAAACUCUUGACAUAAGGGAGACAGAUGUUGGGGUGCUGCCCAAAGCUUUUGGUCAGCUCAAACAGCUCCGUAGCGUGCUUGGAGGGAACAAAAACACAAAGAAGGCUUUGAAGUUGUCACAUGAGAAGAACAAGGAGCCGAUGAAAGCACUUCGGAUCUUGUCAGGGAUUGAGAUCGGUGAGGACUCAUCAGCUGUAGCAAGCCUUCAUCAGCUGACAGGGCUAAGGAAGCUUGCCAUUUACAAGCUCAAUAUAAGGGAGGGCGGUCAGACCUUCAAACAAUUACGCUCCUCCAUUGAGUACCUCUGUAGCUGCGGUCUGCAGACAUUGGCAAUCAAUGAUGAGAGCUCUAAUUUUAUCAACUCACUAGACACCAUGACCACUCCUCCAAGAUACAUCAUCGGCCUAGAGUUGUCUGGCAAGAUGGAAAGGCCCCCACAGUGGAUCAAAGAACUCAAUAACCUCUAUAAGCUGACCCUUUCUGUAACAGUUCUUCGGACUGAAACUUUCAAGCUCAUCCAGGGCCUGCCCAAAUUGUUUACCCUCACCUUCACACUCAGCGCAGACAAGGAUGAUAGGGACAUAGUGGACAUUCUUGAGGAAAAUAAACAGCUUACGGACAGGGAGAUCAUUAUUCCACCUGGAGGAUUCAAGAGUCUAAAGCUGCUUCGCUUCUUUGCUACUCUGGUGCCGAGGCUGAGCUUUGCAGUCACAAGAGAAGAGGUAAUGCCGGCACUGGAGAGGAUCGAUAUGCGGUUUGAGGCCUUUGAAGGGAUUUACGGCAUCGAGACCCUUAAAAGCCUCCAGGAGGUGCAUCUCAGCGUUGGUAAUCAAGCAGAUGAAAUAACCAACUUCUUGGUAGAAGAUUUGAAGGACACCCCUAGGUAUUUGGACAAGAAGUAUGCCAGAAAGUGGCCAAAGAUAAUCACCGAGUGA
rnacentral:rRNA from 1 species